rnacentral:tRNA from 1 species
CUCCUUGUAGCUUAGUGGUAGAGUAUAUACUGGUGUGUAAAACCAGGGAUCUGGGUUCGAUUCCCGGCAAGGGAG